UACGGAGGGGGCUAGCGUUGUUCGGAAUUACUGGGCGUAAAGCGCACGUAGGCGGCUUUGUAAGUUAGAGGUGAAAGCCCGGGGCUCAACCUCCGGAAUUGCCUUUAAGACUGCAUCGCUAGAAUUGUGGAGAGGUAAGUGGAAUUCCGAGUGUAGAGGUGAAAUUCGUAGAUAUUCGGAAGAACACCAGUGGCGAAGGCGACUUACUGGACACAUAUUGACGCUGAGGUGGCGAAAGCGUGGGGAGCAAACAGGAU
rnacentral:rRNA from 1 species